GUACACGCUGUGACUAGCAUAUCAAUAAGCGGAGGAAAAGAAACUAACAAGGACUCCCCUAGUAACGGCGAGUGAAGCGGGAAGAGCUCAAAUUUGAAAUCUUAAAGGGUUUCCCUUUACGAAUUGUAGUUUAAAGAAGUGUUUUCUGUUGAGGUUUUGGUAAAAGUUCUUUGGAAUAGGACAUCAUAGAGGGUGAGAAUCCCGUAUUCGACCUUUACUUUCAACUUUGUGAUACACUUUCAAAGAGUCGGAUUGUUUGGGAAUGCAGUCCAAAAUGGGUGGUAAAUUUCAUCUAAAGCUAAAUAUUGGCGAGAGACCGAUAGCGAACAAGUACCGUGAGGGAAAGAUGAAAAGAACUUUGAAAAGAGAGUUAAACAGUACGUGAAAUUGUCAAAAGGGAAGCGUUUGACACCAGUGUUGUUUUUCUGAAAAUCAAUUAAAGAACUGUUUAUGCUAAGCUGUUUAGACUUUAUCAGCUAUCUGUUUAGUUUUGAGCUUUUCUUUAAUGCACUUUUCAGUUAACAAGUCAACAUCAAUUUCUUUUGCUGUAAAAAAGCUUGAGGAAGGUGGCUUGAGAUUCGUCUUAAGUGUUUAUAGCCUCUUGCCUAUGCAGUCGGAGAGAUUGAGGUCUGCAGCGUAGAUCCUUCGGGGCUAAAUGCAUUUGUGCUAAGUUAUAGCAUUUUAUAGACAACUUGUUGACUAUGAUUUGUCUUGUAGCUUACUCGCUUAUGUUAUUUUACCUACGCUUAGGAUGUUGAAGAUGUAGCACAUCAU
rnacentral:rRNA from 1 species